GGUUGCCUAGGAAACAAUGGUAGCCAGUGGUAUUUGUUUACAGCUACUGGUUCCCUCUAGUGGUGUGCUGGUAAAUGUUAAAACUAGCCAGGGGGGAGGCAGUGACAGCCUUGGCAUUUGCUAGAGUCCUGACCUAUACUGGAGCCAUCGCUGAGUUAGUCCAUACUUGACCUGGUCUUAUACUAACAUAUAUGGAUGAAGCUUCUGCUGUCUGGCCAUCUACACCUCAGUGGACAAAAUGAGAACGCUAUAGGAUACACAGGAAUGAUGUCUCCGCAGAGAAGAAACUUCCAUCUCUUCUGAUUAAAGACUAACAAAAGAGAAGAGGUCCUGACUGGGCUUCAGCCGGAAGAAGAAGGAGAAGAAGAGAGCAGCUUAAGCAAGCUGUGUGGAGCAAGCCAGUAAGCAGCAUUCCUCUAUGGCCUCUGCAGCAGCUCCUGGUUCCAGGUUCCUGCCUUGACUUUCCUCAGUAAUGGAGUGUGAGCUGAGAGCUGUAAGCUGAAAUAAACACCUCUAUUCCCAUCCUCCCCCCAAAGAA